AUGAUUGAUUUAUUUAAAUUAAAUAUAAAUGGUUAUUUAAAUGCUGAUGGUUCAGUAAGAAGAGGUACUAUUACUGAAUUAUUAAAUAAUGAAAAUUUAAUGAAUUAUAAUAUGAAUAGAAAAAAUGAUAAAUGGAAAAGAUAUAUUAAAUGUAUUGAACCAUUUUUAGAUGUUCAUACAAUAAUUAAUUUAUCACAAACAUGUAGAUUUUUUUAUAAAAGAAAAUAUAAAGUACAUAAUAAUAGAUUAAUAUUUACAAGUUAUUUAGGUUAUAAUCCUCAAUUUUUAUAUGAAUAUGUAUUUCCAACAGUUUAUAAACGUAUGCAUAAAUCAGUUAAAAGAAAAUUAUGUUUAGAUUUUACAAUGUGUACAUUAAUUAAAGAUAGAACAAUUGCUAAUAUAUUAAAUCAGAUUUAUAAUUUAGAAUCAUUAAACACAAAACAUUUAUUUAUUUAUAAUUUACAAGAAUUAUAUUUUGAUUAUUGUCAUCAUCUAACAGAUAAAACGUUAGAAAUAUUAGCUCAAACAAGACUUCCUUCUUUAAAAACUUUAAGUAUAAAAUGUGUUCGUAAUAAAUAUUUAACUUGUGCACCUUUAACAGUUAUGUUAAGAAAAAAAAAUUGGCCAGUUUUUACAAAUUUUAUAUGCUCUUUUUCUAAUGCAUGGUUAGAACCUAUUUUUAUUGUAUCCAAUUUUAUUAUUAAUAGAGCUAAUAAUAAAAAUCAUUUAAUAUACCAUAAGUUAAAGAAUUUACGUAAAACAUUAGAAGGUAUAAAAACAAUGGAUUCUUUGCAUAUAGAUAUGUCAGCCAAGACAUCUAUUUCAUCACAUGCUUCCGAAUCGUCUUUUAUGCCUAAUAAUGAUGCACAUCUAAAAAAAAUAAAUGAAAACACAAUAUUUAACGUUAUAAGUGUUCAUGAUAGUAUAGAUGUUAAUAAUUAUGAUAAAUCAAAUAUAAAUGAUUAUAUUAGUACACAUAAUAAUGUUGAUACAGGUACAGGUACAGGUACGGGUACAGGUAUAGGUACAGGUACAGGUAUAGGUACAGGUAUAGGUACAGGUAUAGGUACAGGUACAGGUACAGGUAUAAGUACUGGUAUAGGUACAGGUAUAGGUACAGGUAUAGGUAUAGGUACAGGUAUCGUAUAUAGUGACCCUAAUAAUUAUCAUAAUCAACAUCAUACUAAUAACAUUAUUAAUACAAACAAUAAUACUGUUACAAAUAAAUGUAAUAAUAAUAGUUGUAAUAAUAAUAGUUGUAAUAAUAAUAGUUGUAAUAAUAAUAGUUGUAAUAAUAAUGGUUGUAAUAAUAUUGGUUGUAAUAAAAUUGGUUGUAAUAAAAUUGGUUGUAAUAAUAAUGGUUGUAAUAAUAUUGGUUGUAAUAAAAUAGGUUGUAGUAAUAAUGGCUGUAAUUAUAGUCAUAGUUAUAAUUAUAACUCUGGUAGUAAAAAGAGGUUAAAAUCAGUUAUGAAUAGUGAAACAGAAUUUAGUAUAAGUCAAUCAGAAACAAAUAAUAAUUUUAGUAUUUUUCAAAAUUUUUUUAAUAAUUCUAUAAAAAAUACAGCACACUCUUCAAGAGUUCAAUCAUGUUUAAAUAAUAAAGAUAAUACUAAUUGUAAUAACAAUACAAUUGUUACUACUACUCUUAAUUUUAAUAAUUUUAAUAGUAAUAAUGAAAAUGCUAAUGUUAGUGUAAGUGCCAACAGUUGUGAAAAUAAUAACUUUUUGCGAAAAUCAUAUGACUUGUCUAAAUAUGGAAACAAUAUACCUCCUAACAUGCAAAACAAUGCCAAUAACAAUUACUUAAAACGUAAUGAAAAUUACAAUUUUUGUAAUAAAAAUAUAGAUACGUAUGAACAUUGUUCCUAUUAUGCACCGGAUUCGACAAAUGAAAAAAAUGAUAUUUUUAGCGAAUUCUUAUUAUCUGACUCUGUACAAACUGGUCAAAAUAAUAAAAAAAAAAAUGAAUUAUUAAGUAAUGAACAUAGUGUCGGUAAUCGUAACGUAAAUACAAGUGGGAACGGAAUUAACAAUAAUAGUACUGUUACAUCAAAAAAUCAAAUAAAAGAGAAUGUUGUUAGUAGUGGCAUUAAUAGUAGUACAAUGAAUGUUCAAUUGGAACGUGUAUGUAAUAGUAAAACAAAUAAUGGAACUACAAAUAAUGAUAAUGAAGGAAUGGACCAGAAAGAAGUUCCUAAAAAGUGUAGUAAUAAUAAUAGCUAUGAUUAUAAUAACAAUAAUCGCGAUAAAAAAAAUGAUGGACAAAUACUUAUGGAAAAAGGAUCCAAUGGUAAACAACCAGAGAAACAGUCAGAGAAACAGAGGGAAAUAUAUAAUGAACAAAACACAGACAUAUGUACAGGUACAUCUGUUAAAGAAGAAAAACACCUACAAAGGGACAUACCAAAUGUACAUAUGCAGUGUUCUUCAUCAUAUGAAAAAAAUAACAUAAAAAAUAAUAAACCAAGUGUAGGAGAUACUACUACAUAUGAAGAAAAAGAAAUUGUACAAAAAAAAGAAAAAAAUAAUAAAGAAAAAGUAUUAUCAAAUAAUGUAACAAAUUGUAAAGAAAUUGAAAAGAAUGAAGAAAGGUGUUAUGAUAACACUAACGAAAGUAACAAAAAAAAAAGCUUGGAUGAAAUUAAAAAAAAAAAAAAAUUCUAGUAGUAAUAAAAAAAAACCAUUAACUGUGGAAAAUAUUUUU
ensembl:lncRNA